rnacentral:snoRNA from 1 species
UGGAUUGAAGAUGACUACUGGUGGCACAUGAGUCCUGUACGAUGAACACAUGUCUGAAACUCUGAGGUCCAA